AAAGACAAAGCAUUGGUACCCUGCUGCAAAGGACCAAAAUGAAAGGCCAGAGAUACCCGCAGCACGGAUUGAACCCCCGUGGCCUCCAGGUGCAACCCGGGCGUGGGGCCCGCCUUCCUAAUAUACCUGUGGGAAGGGCCAGAACGGGAAACCAAAAUUGACAUUUGUAAAUUGUUUUAAAAUAAAACUUAGUUUAUUCCAGUUUAAUUUGAAUUGGAAUAAGACCCAAACUGUUGGAUAGGUUUACUUAUUAAAAGUUGCCUUAAGCAGUGUAGCCUUCUUUACUUUUUAGCAGUUUGAUGGCCACAUACCUUCUGACAGCUUUCUAAUAAGGACCAAACGCAAAUUUGACUGUUGCAUAAAAGGAGUGAAACCGGAGGAAAGAUUAUGAAUAUAUGUCAACAGCACUGUAAUAUUCCCCAGCGCGGCACAUAGGAUGGACUCUGAAGGUUUGCUGAAAUAACUCUGCUUUCCCAGGAGGGGCCACUGCUCUGCAAGGAGGGACAGAGUGUUCAGAAAACGGAAGUCUUCUGGAGCGAGCUCAAGGAAGAAAGGUGUAAGGGUGUAAAAGACCCUCGCUGCAGGCUCUCGAGCAUCAUUAUCCUAGAGAGCAGGGACUCAAA